AAUGUGAAUUGCAGAAUUCAGUGAAUCAUCGAAUCUUUGAACGCACAUUGCGCCCCGUGGUAUUCCGCGGGGCAUGCCUGUUCGAGCGUCAUUUCACCACUCAAGCCUGGCUUGGUAUUGGGCGUCGCGGCCUCCGCGCGCCUCAAAGUCUCCGGCUGAG
rnacentral:rRNA from 1 species